rnacentral:rRNA from 1 species
AAAGUGUUUCUAGAGAGAA